GAGCCCGGAGGUCAACGUCCGACAGCGCAGUUGCGCCCUCGGGCGCGAAACCG
rnacentral:sRNA from 1 species